rnacentral:lncRNA from 1 species
CGGGUGACCCGUGUACGUGUUUUCUUUCACUCCUGUAGACCUAUACCUUGAUAUUCACACACUGAAGGUGCAGGUGCCAACAUCUGGAGGUCCCACUGAGAUCCAGAAAGAGAGGAAAAACUGACGGGAUCAUUCCAAAAGGCCCGCCAGCAAGGAAGCAGAAGGUUCUGGGGACAAGCGGCGACCACACGGCAAAGCUAAAAGGAAGAGAAUCAACAUAUGAAUUUGAUAAUAUCUGUAAGACAUGAAUGCUUCUUGACCAAAGCAAGAGAAGACAUAGUUGAACGAGUGAAAUAAUGAAUGAGAUGUUAAUCAACCAAGAUGAUGGAUACUGGAAGAGCUAAUCUUAGAUGAGAUGACAUAGGAGAAGAACAACAGUAAUAAUAAUUGUCUUGGCCACCCUCAAGUUGACCAUGUGAAUGCAAAAGAAUCUUUUCCUGGGGACAGUUAUUUACCCUUCGUCAUGUUGAUUUGUCAUGGAACCCAGAGAUGAUCUAGAUGAUCUCACAGAGAACUCAAAGGACUUUAUGUGUGGUAUUUUUUCAGAACAUAUAUCUGCAGUAAAAUAUACAAAAAGACACUCCAGAUACUUGAGCACUGUGCUGACGGAGAUCCACCUUGUGAAGUUUCCACUAGUGAAUAGUGGUUAUGCGAGGAGCAGAUGUAUUUGAACAUGCCGAGG